CCUANGGGAGGCAGCAGUGAGGAAUAUUGCGCAAUGGCCGAAAGGCUGACGCAGCGACGCCGCGUGAAGGAUGAAGUCCGUUAGGAUGUAAACUUCUUUUGCAGGGGAUGAAUGUUCCGGUUUCCGGAAUUGACCGUACCCUGCGAAUAAGGAUCGGCUAACUACGUGCCAGCAGCCGCGGUAAUACGUAGGAUCCGAGCGUUGUCCGGAAUUACUGGGUGUAAAGGGCGUGUAGGUGGGUCUCUAAGUCGGUGGUGAAAUCCUGCAGCUUAACUGCAGAACUGCCAUUGAUACUGGAGGUCUUGAGUGCGGCAGAGGGAGAUGGAAUUCAUGGUGUAGCGGUGAAAUGUGUAGAUAUCAUGAAGAACACCGGUAGCGAAGGCGGUCUCCUGGUCCGUAACUGACACUGAGGCGCGAAAGCGUGGGGAGCAAACAGGAUUAGAUACCCCGNUANUC
rnacentral:rRNA from 1 species